rnacentral:misc_RNA from 1 species
AACGCACGAGACCUGCGGACCUGCGGAAGGAUCAUUACCGAGUUAGGGUCUUUUGGCCCGACCUCCAACCCUUUGUUUAUUAUACCAUGUUGCUUUGGUGGGCCUGCCUUUCGGGGCUGCCGGGGGCAUCACUGCCCCUGACUCGUGCCUGCCAGGAGCCUGUUUAAAUUCAGUGUUCAACAGUGCUGUCUGAGUCCCACUAUCAAAAUAUCAAAAACUUUUAACAAUGGAUCUCUAGAU